rnacentral:rRNA from 1 species
GACAGAGGGUGCAAACGUUGUUCGGAUUUACUGGGCGUAAAGCGCGUGUAGGCGGCUUGGCAAGUCGGAUGUGAAAGCCCACGGCUCAACCGUGGAAGCGCACCCGAAACGGCCUCGCUCGGAGUCGUCGGAGAGGAAGGUGGAAUGACUUGGUGUAGAGGUGAAAUUCGUAGAUAUCAAGCAGAACACCUGCCGGCGGA